rnacentral:misc_RNA from 1 species
GAUGAAGAACGUAGCGAAAUGCGAUAAGUAAUGUGAAUUGCAGAAUUCAGUGAAUCAUCGAAUCUUUGAACGCACAUUGCGCCCGCUAGUUUUCUGGCGGGCAUGCCUGUUCGAGCGUCAUUUCAACCAUCAAGCCCUGUUUAGGCUUGUGUUGGGGCCCUGCGGCUGCCGCAGCCCCCUAAAUGCAGUGGCGGGCUCGUUGUCACUCCGAGCGCAGUAGCGUAUCUCGCUCUGGGCGUGGCGGCGGGUGCUAGCCGUGAAACACCCACUAAGGUUGACCUCGGAUCAGGUAGGAAUACCCGCUGAACUUAAGCAUAUCAAUAAGCGGAGGA